AUUGAACGCUGGCGGCAGGCCUAACACACGCAAGUCGAGCGGGAACUUCGGUUCUAGCGGCGGACGGGUGAGUAAUGCGUAGGAAGCUACCCGACAGAGGGGGAUACCAGUUGGAAACGACUGUUAAUACCGCAUAAUGUCUACGGACCAAAGUGUGGGACCUUCGGGCCACAUGCUGUCGGAUGCGCCUACGUGGGAUUAGCUAGUUGGUGAGGUAACGGCUCACCAAGGCGACGAUCCCUAGCUGGUUUGAGAGGAUGAUCAGCCACACUGGAACUGAGACACGGUCCAGACUCCUACGGGAGGCAGCAGUGGGGAAUAUUGGACAAUGGGCGAAAGCCUGAUCUAGCCAUGCCGCGUGUGUGAAGAAGGCCUUCGGGUUGUAAAGCACUUUCAGUAGGGAGGAAGAGUUGAGUGUUAAUAGUACUCAGCUUUGACGUUACCUACAGAAGAAGCACCGGCUAACUCUGUGCCAGCCGCCGCAGUUAAAA
rnacentral:rRNA from 1 species